GGGGAUGUAGCUCAAUCGGUACAGAGUGCUUGCCUCGCAUGUAUGAAGCACUGGGUUCAAUCCUCAACCCUG
rnacentral:tRNA from 1 species